rnacentral:rRNA from 1 species
CCUACGGGGGGCAGCAGUGGGGAAUAUUGGGCAAUGGGCGCAAGCCUGACCCAGCAACGCCGCGUGAAGGAAGAAGGCUUUCGGGUUGUAAACUUCUUUUCGCAGGGACGAAGCAAGUGACGGUACCUGAGGAAUAAGCCACGGCUAACUACGGGCCAGCAGCCGCGGUAAUACGUAGGUGGCAAGCGUUAGCCGGAUUUACGGGGGGUAAAGGGCGUGUAGGCGGGACUGCAAGUCAGAGGUGAAAACCACGGGCUCAACCGGUGGCCUGCAUUUGAAACUGUAGUUCUUGAGUACUGGAGCGGCAGCCGGACUUCCUCUUGUAGCGGUUAACUGCGUAGAUCUUAGGAGGACCCCCAGUGGCGACGGCGGUCUGCUGGACAGCAACUGCCGCUGAGGCGCGACAGCGUGGGGAGCACACAGGAUUAGAUACCCGAGUAGUC